GGUAGCUUGCUACUGAUCUUAGCGGCGGACGGGUGAGUAAUGCUUAGGAAUCUGCCUAUUAGUGGGGGACAACAUUUCGAAAGGAAUGCUAAUACCGCAUACGUCCUACGGGAGAAAGCAGGGGAUCUUCGGACCUUGCGCUAAUAGAUGAGCCUAAGUCGGAUUAGCUAGUUGGUGGGGUAAAGGCCUACCAAGGCGACGAUCUGUAGCGGGUCUGAGAGGAUGAUCCGCCACACUGGGACUGAGACACGGCCCAGACUCCUACGGGAGGCAGCAGUGGGGAAUAUUGGACAAUGGGCGCAAGCCUGAUCCAGCCAUGCCGCGUGUGUGAAGAAGGCCUUAUGGUUGUAAAGCACUUUAAGCGAGGAGGAGGCUACUUUAGAUAAUACCUAGAGAUAGUGGACGUUACUCGCAGAAUAAGCACCGGCUAACUCUGUGCCAGCAGCCGCGGUAAUACAGAGGGUGCAAGCGUUAAUCGGAUUUACUGGGCGUAAAGCGCGCGUAGGCGGCUAAUUAAGUCAAAUGUGAAAUCCCCGAGCUUAACUUGGGAAUUGCAUUCGAUACUGGUUAGCUAGAGUGUGGGAGAGGAUGGUAGAAUUCCAGGUGUAGCGGUGAAAUGCGUAGAGAUCUGGAGGAAUACCGAUGGCGAAGGCAGCCAUCUGGCCUAACACUGACGCUGAGGUGCGAAAGCAU
rnacentral:rRNA from 1 species